AUUGAACGCUGGCGGCAUGCCUUACGCAUGCAAGUCGAACGGUAACGCGGGGCAACCUGGCGACGAGUGGCGAACGGGUGAGUAAUGUAUCGGAACGUGCCCAGUUGUGGGGGAUAACUGCUCGAAAGAGCAGCUAAUACCGCAUACGACCUGAGGGUGAAAGCGGGGGAUCGCAAGACCUCGCGCAAUUGGAGCGGCCGAUAUCAGAUUAGGUAGUUGGUGGGGUAACGGAUCACCAAGCCAACGAACUGUAGCUGGUCUGAGAGGACGACCAGCCACACUGGGACUGAGACACGGCCCAGACUCCUACGGGAGGCAGCAGUGGGGAAUUUUGGACAAUGGACGCAAGUCUGAUCCAGCCAUGCCGCGUGCGGGAAGAAGGCCUUCGGGUUGUAAACCGCUUUUGUCAGGGAAGAAACGCUCUGGGUUAAUACCUCGGGGUAAUGACGGUACCUGAAGAAUAAGCACCGGCUAACUACGUGCCAGCCGCCGCAGUAAGAC
rnacentral:rRNA from 1 species